AACGAACGCUGGCGGCAGGCUUAACACAUGCAAGUCGAACGCUCCGCAAGGAGAGUGGCAGACGGGUGAGUAACACGUGGGAACGUACCCUUUACUACGGAACAACUCCGGGAAACUGGAGCUAAUACCGUAUGUGCCCUUUGGGGGAAAGAUUUAACGGUAAAGGAUCGGCCCGCGUUGGAUUAGCUAGUUGGUGGGGUAAAGGCCUACCAAGGCGACGAUCCAUAGCUGGUCUGGGAGGAUGAUCAGCCACAUUGGGACUGAGACACGGCCCAAACUCCUCCGGGAGGCAGCAGUGGGGAAUAUUGAACAAUGGGCGCAAGCUUGAUCCAGCCAUGCCGCGUGUGUGAUGAAGGCCUUAGGGUUGUAAAGCACUUUCACCGGAGAAGAUAAUGACGGUAUCCGGAGAAGAAGCCCCGGCUAACUUCGUGCCAGCCGCCGCCGUAA
rnacentral:rRNA from 1 species